rnacentral:lncRNA from 1 species
AUCUGAAUGCUCUUCAGUAUAUUUUCUUUUCUUUCCCUUACACUGACCAAAAAAAUGCAAACAAUAAAUACAGACAGCAGAUGUAACUAGUCAUUUCUGACUGUCAGAAAAGAAACCAAUAUAAUGUCAGUAAUAAUUGUUUUCAUUGAGAAGUAAGAGAGGUGAAGGUGCUUUUUCACUGCUUAUUUUUUCAAUUUAUUUUCCUGCUAAAUUGCAGUUCAGAAGCUAUGUUACUGGCUUAUAUUUCACAGAGGUAAAUUGGCAAGAAAAAACAAACAAACAAACACAAAACAACAACAACUUUAUUAUAGUUUCCUAUCUCUAAACAAAUUUGUUUUGGGGUGCUUUGCUGUCAGGUUCCUGCUUCUUUGACAUGUAAUUCAUGCAGUUGCUGCUGAAAGCCCAUUAAGAAAGAAACCAUGCCUGUCACCCAACAAAGAAGGAUGUAAAAGCACUUCAUUGUUCCUGCUCUGCAGAAAAACAAUUUGCCACCGCCAGACCCCACUCCCAGCUGUGCCAAGUGCACGGUAAUUUAUUACCUCUGGAUGUCUGAUUCCAAGUGAAGGAAACUGGAAUGUCAUACCUUCAUUCAUAACACCGUCUCAUGGAAUUAUUUUUUCCGGAUUCCUGGGAAGUUGAAAUAUUUGAGAAGAAUAUCAGGAACUGUUGUUUUAGCCUGUUUGAAGCUACUGAAUAAGUAUUUCAAUAUUACAAAAUCUCUCUGUGGAACAUGGUUGUGCCCAGACAGCCCAUAGUAUCACCUUGCUAGAAUACCGAUGAAGAUAAGAAUUGUAUCUGUCAGAUAUGUUCUGUUUUGAGACAAUCAGACAUGAUAAGUUUUGACCUUUUUUUUUUUUUUUUUUAGUGUUUGAAGAGAAAAAAUGUUUUAAGUGUUGGAAUGUUGGAAAGUGCCUUCAAAGACAAUUAGACAAUUUAUGGAUUUCCAGUUAAAUCAAAAAUUAAAGCAUAUCAUACAAAAAUGAAAAUUACUGAAUAAAUACUGAAUAAAAUAACAUAGCAACAGAUGGUCUUUGGGUAGUCCUGCAACAAAUAAAAGUUUGCCAAUAGGCAGAUACAGACUGCAAAGAAAAGUGUUUUCAAACAAUCUUCAGCAUAAAAAUUUCUGUGAGACUCU